CUUCAUCCUUUAAGCGAAAUUUCAAUGGCGAAUCCAUCUGUUCUUUACUGUUUUGUGUUUCUCUACAGCCUUUAAAUCUGUUUCUGAAGCUUUGCUGAAGAUUUCUGUUUCUGUCGGACUAAUGAAUUUUGAUUAUUGUGAUAUUGCAACUCAUCAAUUAAAAAACUUCCAGAAGCUCAGAUAAAUAAGUAUAGAUUAAUUAGUUUGAUUAACGCAUUAACCUUGUAAAAGAAAUUCUUAACUUUGGUUGAAGCAUCAUGGAAAAACAGUAAUGUACCUGAGCAAGUGUUCCAAUUCAUAAAGAUGGUGGAUAGCUAUUUUGUGUUCCUACUUGUGCGUUGAUAGUUGAACACCCUGCAGUCGGAAGUGACAUACUAUGUUAAGGAUAUUUGGAUCAAUUUGGUGCAUGCAAAACGUAUAACUGCUUCAUGAGUAACUUCGACACAUAUAAGAUACUAUUUCUUAUGAUGCAAAUACGCAUGAUUGUGUAUCAUGUCAUCUGAGGCUCCAGUGUCUACAAUCCAUUUCAAGCAGGAAUAGGAUUACCUGCUAGAUUUGCACUACUUUGAGAAUCUAAAAGCUCCUUAUGUCCUUGCAAUAUAACACGCAUCUUUUGAAUUUGUUCAGGUCUUCAUGAAACAAGGGAUAAUAAUAUGCUAUAUUCUUUUCAAUAAUCAAAAUCUAACGAUAACAUUUUAAUAGCCAUCAUUAUUAGACGAAUUGUUCAUUGAGCAGAAGAAUGUUGUUAUGAUAUAUCAUAUAAUAGUUUAAACUGCAUGGUCUGCUUGAUAGUGUAUUUCAAUAGUUUAAAACGCAGGGGAGCUGACACAUUCUCAACUCUGUGCUUUUUGGUAGAUAAAGAAAGUAUGUUAAUUUAUGCAUCUAAAUUGUAGGAUAAUUCUGCUGAUAUAAAGGAAUCAUCAUUUGUCAUUUAAUAUGGUUUUUUCCAUUUUAAAAUUUUUGAGCAAGGCAUCCUGUAAGGGGCAGCAGUCUUCACUCAAAAGGAUACAAACACUCAGUUAUAAGUGAGAUAAACUCCCUAAAGGUUUCCCUUGAUGACCAGUUCAAGAUAAAGGAUUUAGGAAAACUACAUUACUUCUUGGGGCUAGAAAUACUCUACUAUUUUUUUUGACUGCUUCAAAUCUGCUUCUGGAAAUGUUGCCAGACAUUACUAUUACAAAAGCGCACAAGAGACCUCGAGUCAAGAAGACGUCUUCUACAAGUUCCUCUCAUGAUAAGAGAGCCUUAUGUUACGUCAACAAAAGGAUCCUGAUGAACCUAUAGUGAAGGUAAAAACACGUGUAAUGAGACCUGUAGUUGCCCAUCCCUUUAGGAAAGGUGUUAAACAAGGUCCUAAGCACAUGGCAAAUCUGAAGUGUCUACUUCCACGGAAGAUUUCCCAAAAUCGCCUCAGGACAAUUUAAGAAAAUUCUUAGGUGCAUAAGAGAAGGCCGUGACAGCUCUGCCGCCCUUGAAUGUGGUCAUCAUACAAUUGGCUGCAAAAGCUACUUUAUUCAAUUCAAAUGUCAAGAAAGACGUCUCAAUAGCACAGGAUGAGAUUUUUCGCCUGCUGCAGUGUGUCAUCAAAUUCAAACAGUCUGUUCAAAAUAAACAUUUCAACUGGAAUCUUGAGGAGUAAAACAUUGUUGCUCCAAUCGGAAAGUUAGAUUUCACCUCUACCAUCAACAAUAUAAUCCACAACAAGUUUACGUCAGUCCCAGACCAUAGUAGAGAACAAAAUGGCAUUGUGAAGCCUCUGUUGCUGACUUGAUGCCUGAGUUCUUAAAAAAAACAACACAGAAGCCUCAUCUUAUUCACACAAAUGUGAAUAAUAAUGGCAAUGGUGCACAUGAGAUCAGACAACAACUUGCAAUUGGAGCUCUUAUCAAACUGUGCAAGUCCUUUUGCCAAGUUUUUGGUGCAUAAAAACCCACAACUCCAUGUGAAUGUCCUAUUUUUUUCAAUCAUUUUCAAGAUAAUGAUGAGCUAAGAAUUAUUUCAAGUUGUACUCAUAUACUCCACAUUAAUUCGUUUCUAUAUCUUCUGUGAGAUUGCUUGAAAUCUUCGUAAGCUUCAACACAAAAACACAAGAGCUAUAUACA